rnacentral:rRNA from 1 species
UAAACCUGGUUGAUCCUGCCAGUAGUCAUAUGCUUGUCUCAAAGACUAAGCCAUGCAUGUCUAAGUAUAAAUGCUAUACAAUGAAACUGCGAAUGGCUCAUUAAAACAGUUAUAGUUUAUAUGGUAAUCGAAUUUACAUGGAUAACCGUGGUAAUUCUAGAGCUAAUACAUGCUGUUAAGCCCAACUUAUGGAA